ensembl:lncRNA
AUGUCUUAUAACAGUUUGGGCAUCCUGGUUUUAGAUGAUCAGUUGGCCUUAACACUUCCUGUUUCACUGCCUCGGGACCCUCCCUCUACUCUCUCUUCUUCCUGUUUCACUGCCUCGGGACCCUCCCUCUACGGUCUCUCUCCUUCUUCCUGUUUCACUGCCUCGCACCCUACCUCUACGGUCUCUCUCCUUCUUCCUGUUUCACUGCCUCAGACCCUCCCUCUACUGUCUCUCUCUCUCUUCUUCCUGUUUCACUGCCUUACCCUCCCUCUACUGUCUCUCUCUUCUUCCUGUUUCACUGCCUUACCCUCCCUCUACUGUAUCUCUCUUCUUCCUGUUUCACUGCCUCGAACCCUCCCUCUACUGUCUCUCUCUUCUUCCUGUUUCACUGCCUUACCCUCCCUCUACUGUCUCUCUCUUCUUCCUGUUUCACUGCCUCGGUACCUCCCUCUACUAUCUCUCUUCUUCCUGUUUCACUGCCUCGAACCCUCCCUCUACUGUCUCUCUCUUCAUCCUGUUUCACUGCCUCGAACCCUCCCUCUACUGUCUCUCUCUCUCUUCUUCCUGUUUCACUGCCUCGAACCCUCCCUCUACUGUCUCUCUCUCUCUUCUUCCUGUUUCACUGCCUUACCCUCCCUCUACUGUCUCUCUUCUUCCUGUUCCCCGGGUUACGUUCCAAAAUGGCACCUUAUUCCCUAUUUGGUGUUGGAAAAGGUCACUCGUGCGCUAGUGCACUAAAUAUUUAGUGGUCAAAAGGGCUCUGGUCAAACGGUAGUGCACCGUAAGGGAAUUAGGAUGCUGUUGAGGACACUUCCCUUCAUCUGAAGGUCUCAUGCUUCCUCAGAUAUGUGCCUUCCAGCUUUCCGUAGUUUUGUUGUUUUGUUGUUCCGGCCUCCCAAAAAACCAACAAAAUUUGGACCCAAAAGCAACCUGCGUACGUACUUACCUAAUAUACAUAAUGUCUACGUUCAAAAUGCCAUCCUAUUCCCUAUGAAGGGCCCUGGUCAAAAGUAGUUCACUAUAUAGGGAAUAGGGUGCAGUUUCUGACGCAGCCAUUGGCUGAAUCUCUGGUGAUGUAGUUUCUGACGUAGCCAUUGGCUGAGUCUCCGGUGAUGUAGUUUCUGACGUAGCCAUUGGCUGCAUCUCCGGCGACGCCCAUUUCUGACAUAGCCAUUGGCGACGCCCAUUUCUGACAUAGCCAUUGGCUGAGUCUCCGGUGAUGUAGUUUUUUUCCCCCUUGUAGUGCACUAUAAACUAGUGUACUGUAAACUAGUGUACUGUAAACUAGUGUACUGUAAACUAGUGUACGACAGAGGGGGAGCGAGACGGACAACAGUAAUAUCAUUGGUGUUCAGUUGUUUUAUGUUCAUGCUGGUGUUUUUUGCCUCGUUGUCAAAAGAUCCCAUUUUUCUGGUUUCGCCUCUUUUGUGAUUAUCAUUUUAAAUAAGUAUAUCCAUUUUAUUUAGUAUUUUAUAUAGUUUAUACUGUAUUGUAUUCUAUCGUAUAUUUAUGUCUUUGUAAAAAAAAAAAUUUGGGGAAAAAAAACGGACAAACUUAAGUAUUGAAAAUCGAUGAAUGUUGGUACGAAUGAUGCUUGUAAACAGAAUAAAUACAUAACAAUCUGAUCUCUGUGUUCAUCUGGUAAACUAGACGAAGAAGACGAAGGAAGCUGGUUAAAUAAAGGUGAAAUAAAAACUAUUUCUUCACCCCUUUUUUUCCUAAUUGGUAGUUAGUCUUGUCUCAUCGCUGCAACUCCCGUACGGACUCGGGAGAGGCGAAGGUCGAGAGCCGUGUGUCCUCCGAAACACGACCCCAACCAAGCCGCACUGCUUCUUUGACACAACGCACAUCCAACCCGGAAGCCAAACGCACCAAUGUAUCGGAGGAAACACCGUUAUACCUGGUGACCUGUGCACUGCGCCCGGGCCCGUCACAGGAGCGCGUUGGGACAAGAACAUCCCAGCCGGUCAAAACCCUCCCGUAACCCGGACGACGCUGGGCCAAUUGUGCGCCGCCCCCAUUAGGUCUCCCGGUCGCGGCUGGCUGCGACAGAACCUGGACUCGAACCCAGAAUCUCUAGUGGCACUGCCUUAGACCACUGAAUCACAGCCUUAGACCACUGAAUCACUGCCUUAAACCACUGAAUCAUUUUCGACCACUGAAUCACUGCCUUAGACCACUGAAUCAUUUUAGACCACUGAAUCACUGCCUUAGACCACUGCAUCUCUAGUGGCACUGCCUUAGACCACUGAAUCACUGCCUUAGACCACUGAAUCACUGCCUUAGACCACUGAAUCACUGCCUUAGACCACUGAAUCACAGCCUUAGACUACUGAAUCACUGCCUUAGACCACUGAAUCACUGCCUUAGACCACUGAAUCACUGCCUUAGACCACUGAAUCACUGCCUUAGACCACUGAAUCACAGCCUUAGACCACUGAAUCACAGCAUUAGACCACUGAAUCUCUAGUGACACAGCUAGCACUGCCCUAGACCACUGAAUCACUGCCUUAGACCACUGAAUCACAGACUUAGACCACUGAAUCACAGCCUUAGACCAUUGAAUCACUGCCUUAGACCACUGAAUCACAGCCUUAGACCACUGAAUCACAGCCUUAGACCACUGAAUCAUUACCUUAGACCACUGAAUCACAGCCUUACCACUGAAUCACAGCCUUAGACCACUGAAUCACAGCCUUAGACCACUGAAUCACAGCCUUAGACCACUGAAUCACAGCCUUAGACCACUGAAUCACAGCCUUAGACCACUGAAUCAUUACCUUAGACCACUGAUCAUUGCCUUAGACCACUGAAUCACAGCCUUAGACCACUGAAUCACAGCCUUAGACCACUGAAUCACAGCCUUCGACCACUGAAUCACAGCCUUCGACCACUGAAUCACAACCUUAGACCACUGAAUCACAGCCUUAGACCACUGAAUUCCCAGGUUUUCCCAGAAGUCCCAGUCGGAUGCUCUGUAAGGAAUAAGUAGGAAAUCUGCGAAUCGUUCAACCAGGAUUUCUGAAUAACCUGGGACUUUUGUAACUAUGAUAAAGACAUGAAUAUGUUGUUUAGCAACAAGCCUAUUUGCUGAAACAUGCCGGCGGUCUCUCUCUGCUCUCUACACCCAGGAGGAAGACGGUCUCUCUCUGCUCUCUCUACACCCAGGAGGAAGACGCUCUCUCUCUGCUCUCUCUACACCCAGGAGGAAGACGGUCUCUCUGCUCUCUCUACACCCAGGAGGAAGACGGUCUCUCUCUGCUCUCUCUACACCCAGGAGGAAGACGGUCUCUCUCUGCUCUCUCUACACCCAGGAGGAAGACGGUCUCUCUCUGCUCUCUCUACACCCAGGAGGAAGACGGUCUCUCUACACCCAGGAGGAAGACGCUCUCUCUCUGCUCUCUCUACACCCAGGAGGAAGACGGUCUCUCUCUGCUCUCUCUACACCCAGGAGGAAGACGCUCUCUCUCUGCUCUCUCUACACCCAGGAGGAAGACGCUCUCUCUCUGCUCUCUCUACACCCAGGAGGAAGACGCUCUCUCUCUGCUCUCUCUACACCCAGGAGGAAGACACUCUCUCUCUGCUCUCUCUACACCCAGGAGGAAGAC